GCCUGGGUGGCUCAGUCGGUUGAGCGUCCGACUUCGGCUCAGGGCAUGAUCCCCCAGUUCGUGGGUUCGAGCCCCUCGUCGGGCU
rnacentral:tRNA from 1 species